rnacentral:rRNA from 1 species
GAAAGUAAUGAAGGGCGUACGGUGGAUGCCUAGGCUCUUACAGGCGAUGAAGGACGUGAUAAGCUGCGAAAAGCCGCGGUGAGGCGCAAAUGGCCCUUGACCCGCGGAUCUCCGAAUGGGACAACCCAAUAUCUUGAAGAGAUAUUAUCCCGCCGGUGCGGGAGGCGAACGCGGGGAACUGAAACAUCUUAGUACCCGCAGGAAAAGAAAAUAAAGAAUGAUUCCCCCAGUAGUGGCGAGCGACCGGGGAAGAGCCCAAACCGACGUUGUCUCGGCAUCGUCGGGGUUGUAGGACCGCGCCAUCGCAAGAAAGGCCGUGAGUGGAAGCGACUGGAAAGCCGCGCCAUAGAGGGUGACAGCCCCUUACACGAAGCAGCCUGAAGCGUAGCGGACUCCUGAGUAGCGCGGGACACGAGAAAUCCUGUGUGAAUCCGCCGGGACCAUCCGGCAAGGCUAAAUACUCGUAAGAGACCGAUAGUGAACCAGUACCGUGAGGGAAAGGUGAAAAGGACCCCUUGCAGGGGAGUGAAAGAGUUCCUGAAACCGUACGCCUACAAGCGGUCGGAGCAUCUUGAAUGAUGUGACGGCGUGCCUUUUGCAUAAUGAACCUACGAGUUGCCGUCACCAGCGAGGUUAAGUGCGACGACGCACCGAGCCGCAGCGGAAGCGAGUCUUAAAAGGGCGCGAUAGUUGGUGGAGGCAGACGCGAAACCGAGUGAUCUACACUUGUCCAGGAUGAAGUCCCGGUAACACGGGAUGGAGGUCCGCACCAAUAAGCGUUGAAAAGCUUCUGGAUGAGGUGAGUGUAGGAGUGAAAGGCCAAUCAAACUCGGAGAUAGCUCGUACUCCCCGAAAGGCAUUUAGGUGCCGCCUGUGGCGUUCCCGACGUGAGGUAGAGCGACUGAUAGGAUGCGAGGGCUUCACCGCCUAUCAAGUCCUGACAAACUCCGAAUGCACGUCGGCCAAGCCAUGGAGUAAGGGCAUGGGUGCUAAGGUCCGUGCCCGAGAGGAGAAGAAUCCAGACCACCGGCUAAGGUCCCGAAAUACUGGUUAAGUUAGACUAACGCAGUCCGGCCCCCAAGACAGCUAGGAUGUUGGCUUGGAAGCAGCCAUUCAUUCAAAGAGUGCGUAACAGCUCACUAGUCGAGGAGCUGGGCGUGGAUAAUAAUCGGGUAUAAAACCAGUUACCGAAGCCGUGGGAUGCUCAAGCAUCGGUAGGGGAGCAUUGCAUGCGGCUUGGAAGGCGGGGCGCGAGCCCCUCUGGAGCGCAUGGAAACGCAAAUGUAGGUAUAAGUAACGACAAGGGGGGUGGGAUGCCCCCCCGCCGAAAGACCAAGGUUUCCUGAACAACGCUAAUCGGUUCAGGGUCAGUCGGGUCCUAAGCAUAAGCCGUAUGGCGAGGGCGAUGGAUGAAACGGUUAAUAUUCCGUUACUGUCUUGGUGUGUGACGCGGCGACGGAGUAGUGACACGGCCGCCUCCUGACGGAAAAGGGGGUUGAAGCGCAAAGGUGUCGAGGAAGGCAGGCAAAUCCACCUUCCGAGCCGAAGCGCGAUAGUACGCCGGGCCCUUUGGGGCAAGGCGAUAGUGCCGGUAAUCAGACUUCCAAGAAAACCCGCUAAACUUCAGCACCAAGUCACCCGUACUCCAAACGGACACACGUGGUCGGGUAGAAUAUACUAAGGCGCUUGGGAGAUUCACGGUUAAGGAACUAGGCAAAUUGACCCCGUACCUUCGGAAUAAGGGGUCCUCGCUUUUGCGAGGCGCAGAGAAUAGGUCCAGGCAACUGUUUAACAAAAACACAGGGCUGUGCCAAUUUGAAAGAAGAAGUAUACAGCCUGACACCUGCCCGGUGCCGGAAGGUUAAGAGGAGAGCUCAUCAGCGAUGAGAAGGCUUGAAUUGAAGCCCCGGUAAACGGCGGCCGUAACUAUAACGGUCCUAAGGUAGCGAAAUUCCUUGUCGGGUAAGUUC